GACGAACGCUGACAGAAUGCUUAACACAUGCAAGUCAACUGUGGCGGACGGGUGAGUAACGCGUAAAGAACUUGCCUCACGGAUAGGGACAACAUUUGGAAACGAAUGCUAAUACCUGAUACUGUGAGAGAGCUUUGCGUCCCAUUAGCUAGUUGGAGAGGUAACGGCUCCCCAAGGCGAUGAUGGGUAGCCGGCCUGCGAGGGUGAUCGGCCACAAGGGGACUGGGAAACGGGCAUUACUCAUACGGGAGGCAGCAGUGGGAAAUAUUGGGAAAUGGACCAAAGUCUGAUGCAGCAAUUCUGUGUGCAAGAUGAAGUUUUCGGAAAGUAAAGUGCUUGCAGUUGGGGAGCGGUACCAACAGAAGAAGUGACGGCUAAAUACGUGCCAGCAGCCGCGGUAAUAC
rnacentral:rRNA from 1 species